rnacentral:lncRNA from 1 species
UCAUUUUGGUGAAAUAAUAUCUGGUCUCUUCUUCGAGACUCUUCCGAAACUCUCCUCCUUCUCUCUACUUUCUCUCUCUAAAUUUCUAUGGUUUCUUGCAUGUUUUCAUGGUAUCAGAGCCUACAUAAUGAUCCGAUGAUACUUUUAUGUGAAUCUGUAGUUCGUUUGAACUAUUCUCUGAUGAAAUUUUUGGGGUUUUCUGAGAUCGAAAGCUCAGUGAUGGUUUUGACUCCGAUUGGGCUUGUUCCGAGCCUUUAUCUUCACGAUCUAUGACCGUUGCUCUUCUCUUGAACGGUUCAAUCGAUUGUUGUAGAAUUUUUGGAAAUUUUCCGGUGAGUUUUCAACUUCUAGGGUUUCUGGUGGUCAAAUCGGUCGUUUGACUGCUAUCCGGUGGUUUGAUACUCAAUUUUGCGGGUGUUUUGGGUGUUAUUGUUACUGCUCCGACAUCCUUGACGGUAUCUCCGGCGUAAUUUUGACGGUUGUUCCUAUGGUGUUUUGGGUGUUAUUGUUACUGCUCCAACAUCCUUGACGGUAUCUCCGGCGUAAUUUUGACAGUUGUUCCUAGGGCCCAUACCUAGGGUUUUAUAUGUGGUUAAAAGGCCGAUCUUCUCCGGUUGCGAAGAAGGACGGUAACACUGUUCCUAUUCUUUGGUUAUGUGCGAUUGUUUGAUUCUAUUUGUGAAUAAUUUGUNNNN